GGUUGUGACUCGGCCACUUGGGGCUGCCGCUGCUGAGGCGGUGGCGGCGCUGCCACCGGUGGGCUCGUCCGGCCACCGGGGCCCACUCCGAGCAGGUGACUGGCCACACCGAUCAUUCUGUACUUUGAGCUAAAGAUCGGAAGAUUGGGAGUUUAAAGGCAGCCAGGGGUACAGCUUGAUCUCACGCCAGAAAAGACAGGAGGUCACGUCCAAGUGUGGCGGUCGUCCAAGCCUUUAUCCCAACUGGAUUUUGGAUGGAGCUUCAGUCACUCUGAACACUUGAUGUCUUCUUGGAUGGUUUGCAGUGUCAGCAUGUCCUCACUGUGUGCCACAAGAGUGUGGUUUUACUUAUUUCUUCUAGACUCAGGUACAUGUCCAGUGUCUGCCACAGCUACUGCACAGGCAUCGGUGCCGGGAAGCCGCUGUCCACCUGGGCAGCUGCUCUGCCUACGACAGCAGCCAUUUCUAGCUCUACUUUUAGUUUCUUUCUGUCUCCUCCUGUCCUCUUCCCUUUCCUCUCCUUUCUUCUGUCUCUUUCUCCCUCUCUCCUUGCUAAGUACAGUUCUACCCCUAAACUCUCAGUCCCUGUCUGUCUGUUGUUUUAAUGGAAGCAAGGUCUCAGGUCAGAGAUGUAGUUCUGUUGGUGAAUUCUUGCCUAGCAUAGAAGCGAGGCUAGCCCCAAAAAGGAUACCCUGGGUGGAAUUCCUAGCACUGCCUGAACCAGACAUGGUGCAUCCUAGUUUUAGGGAGUUGGAGGCUUGAGGACCCGAAAUUCAAGGUCAUCCUUGACUAUAUAGAAAGCUUGAGGCUAGCCUAGUCUACAUGAGACCCGUUUCUAAAGCAAACUAGGGGACCAGGGAGGUGCUCAGCAGGUAGAGCAUUUCCUGCACUUGCAGUCACUGGUUUGGUUCCCAGCACCCAGGCUGAACAGCUGGGUGUUACUUCACAACCAGGAAUCUGAAGGUCUCUUCUGGCUUCUACAAGUAUUGUUUCACAUGUUGUAUAGAAUAUACUCAAGCACACACAUGUGGACAGAUACUAUAAAUCACGACUCUAAGAUGGAAAGCAAGCCCUCACCACAUAAAUCCAGCUGAUCUGGCACUCAUGCAAGCAAAGCUAGCCUUGAGCUUCUGGCGUCCUUCACGUCUCCCCUGAGUGCCCCCUACACACAUGCCCCUCUGCACCUGCCAGCUUCUUCAGGACUAAGGAGAGGCAGGUAGACUGGUGCUUCCUUCUUGCCUCUGCCUACUCCUGCGUUCUCCUUGCUCUUCAUGACCGAGCAAAGAUGGAAUGGGUGCUUGAUACACCUUGAACUUCCUCACUUGGUGGCACUUCAGUCACUUACAACUGUAUCCCACUUCCUGACACGUUGACCCAUCCAACAAAAUGUGUUAAUGACCAGUGAAUAUUAGUUCACCUCAAUUGUCGUGGAAAGGGUUACCCCAGUGGGCAUGCUGUCACAUCUGUAAUGCUAACACUUGGGAGGUGGAGGCAGGAGAUUCAGGAGAUGAAGGUCAACUGCUCUGAGGGGCAGCGUUUCAUGUGUGUGUCUGGAGAGAAGAGCAGCUCAGCAGUUAAGUGCACUGGCUGCUCUUGCAGAAGACCCAGGGUAGGUUCGAGGACCCACAUUGGGCUAUUCACAGGCACUUAGAACCCCAGCUCCAGAGGAUCUAACACCUUCUUCUGGCCUUGGUAGGCACACACAUACUCAUGACUAUAAGCCUGUUUAGAAAAUCUGGCUCAGGCCGGGCAUGGUGGCGCAUGCCUUUAAUUCCAGCACUCGGGAGGCAGAGGCAGGAGGAUUUCUGAGUUUGAGGCCAGCCUGGUCUACAAAGUGAGUUCCAGGGCUGCCUGCCAGGGCUACACAGAGAAACCCAGUCUCGAAAAAACC
rnacentral:lncRNA from 1 species